GAAUGCCAGGCUUGAGAAGACUCUGAAAGAGCUUUGUAACUUAGGGAAGGAAAGUGAAAUGUUUUAUGGGGAUUGAGCAGGAGGGGGCAGAUAAAAAAAUGUUCAGCUGGCUUCAAGGCCAGUUGGUCAAGGAUGGUUCUCUAAAGAAGAGGGCAUUGUGCUUCAGGAGUAGCAGCUAUUGUGUAAUUUCGAUUUUAUCAAGAGAGAUGUAGAGAAACAGUUAGGGGUUACCCAGUCUUGUGUAAAAGGUUUGGAGGAACAGCUGCAAAAGGCACGGACAGGCAAAGGCCACUGUGGGUGAUGCCCAGCCCUUCAGGGCCCCUCAUGGUAUGUCCUGGGCAUCUGCAGGCAGCAGCCGUCCGACAGAUAAAGCACCUGAGACUCAGAGACUUGAGGCAACUUGCUCAAAGCUGAAUAACUAACAGAAACGCUCAUGACUUAUGGUCAAAUGCUUGUGUUCAUUAUGGUGAUUGAAGAAUUGUAAUUUCUUAAUGCUGGGUGAGAGAUGGGAGAGAAAAUGGAGAAAAAAGGAGGAGACCCAUUCUGAGACUAUGUGAUUCCUCAGGGCCAGCAUUCACAUGGCUCAUGCAGGAUGGGAUGCAAUAGAAAAUACACACAACCAUCUGAACAUGAUUCUUGGGUCACUGAAUGAGAACCUAAUAGGAGGUAUAGAAGAACAAGUUAAAUAAAUGAUCCAAGAGAGCAAUCAACCAAAUCCAGAAUGCAGGAGAGUCUAUGGAACAAAGGACCCAAUUGCUGUAACAAACUAAUAGCAUGAAAAAUUAAAAGGGACUAUUGCAGAAUAAAAGAGCUUCAACAAUUAAAA